rnacentral:lncRNA from 1 species
AUCAUUUUACCCCUGCACUCAAAUUUCGCAUCAGCCUGCUAUGUCAAUUAGAAAUAACGGAUCUAUUAUCAUUCACCUUAAUGGGAGGCUAUGAUCUAGUUAUCUCCAUAACUAGUUUAUUUUAUGGAUCUAAUAAUUUAAAAAAAUUGAUUAAAUUUUUUAAAAAAUAUCAAUCGACCUAUAAGUCAUAAAUCCUCCCACG